UUCAAACAGAGCUAGUGCAACAAGUGCUUAUUUUCAUAAUGCAGAGCAAGAAUUCGGGAAUGGUUGAAGUUUGUGAUUUCUUGUUACCUUUCUUGAAUUAUUCAAUUGUUAGGAUGCCCUCAUCUGUUUCAGUUUCUUCAUUUAUAAGAAGUUUGGUAUCGUCACUAGCUGGACUUUGUUGUUCAAUUCCUUUAGAGGCCAUUCCUGUUAUUAAACUCCUCAUUGGGCGUUUGAAGUUCUUUCCAUGCGAUAAUGCAGAA
rnacentral:misc_RNA from 1 species